ensembl:lncRNA
CCAGAGGCCUGCACAGGCAGCUGGAACUUCCCAAGUGGGGCAGAACACAGGGCUGACUCCAGCGCCUGUUGAGUCACCCCACGGGCUAUUUUUUUUUACUUUUUCUUUGGCUAAAUCAGGCAAUCCGCAUUGCUCUCACAGGCCAACUUGGCAGCUGCCCGUGGAACCUGAUCCAUGCCAGCCGGUUUGGGACUCAUUCUUUUCCAUAGCUCCCAGUUUACUCGGAGAAAGAGAACGGUGAUUUCAUCCUGAUGGGGCCCUGGACAAGAGUCUGAAGAGAGAAAGCUGCUGAAUUGUGAAGCAAGUUCAUUUCCCUGCCUACUGGAAUAGCAGGGAGGAGUUGAGGAGUGUUAACUAUUGACUGGACCAUCUUGUGAUCAUCAACAGUGAGUGAAGAAAAUGUUGACAGAUGAUGUAGUUGGAUGUCAGUCUGCCAGUAGCAACAGUACAGCAACUCACAACACCUCUGCUCAGACUUAAAAGAAAACAUCAUACAUAGUCACUUCGCAGGAAGGCGGAGGCUAACGGCUUCGCCUCUUCUACAGACUUUCUGCUCAGGUUGCCCUGGAGCUUCCAUCCGCCUUCAGGAAAAUGAUGCUUGUUCAGCGCAGAAAGGAACUCCAGACUGUAUCCACUAUAUGCUACAAGAGGAAGGGAGGAUGUUGCUGGUGUGUGGCCUGCAACUGAAUGACCAAGUUACCUUUACUGUGGAGUGGCAGAAAUGGGAUAAAUGCUCCAUACUUGAUAAGACUUUGAUUCUUGCAGAAGCAAAAUUGCACUGCAGCUUAAAGAACAGAGAAUACUGUGAUUUGCUGAUAUUAUGGUAGCACUGAGUAGGCUGACUUGAGCGUUGUACACAUCUUCAGUGAGGAAAACCAUUCAUUAGCUGCAAAGCUUAAAUCUUCAGUAACUGAAAAGCAGGAAGGACUGGCACAGCCUUUUAGCAAUUCAAGAUGGAAAAAGUUAUAUGGUUACCCUCCAUAUGGGAGGAUGCGGGGACAUGUGAGAGAUUAAACCGUAACCGUGAAUACGAGAGCCAUUCUGACAAUAACUAAG